GAUGAACGCUGGUGGCGUGCCUAAUACAUGCAAGUCGAGCGAACAGACGAGGAGCUUGCUCCUCUGACGUUAGCGGCGGACGGGUGAGUAACACGUGGAUAACCUACCUAUAAGACUGGGAUAACUUCGGGAAACCGGAGCUAAUACCGGAUAAUAUAUUGAACCGCAUGGUUCAAUAGUGAAAGACGGUUUUGCUGUCACUUAUAGAUGGAUCCGCGCCGCAUUAGCUAGUUGGUAAGGUAACGGCUUACCAAGGCAACGAUGCGUAGCCGACCUGAGAGGGGGAUCGGCCCAACUGGAACUGAGAAAAGGUCCAGACUCCUAAGGGAGGCAGCAGUAGGGAAACUUCCGCAAUGGGCGAAAGCCUGACGGAGCAACGCCGCGUGAAUGAUGAAGGUCUUCGGAUCGGAAAACUCUGUUAAUAGGGAAGAACAAAUGUGUAAGUAACUAUGCACGUCUUGACGGUACCUAAUCAGAAAGCCACGGCUAACUACGUG
rnacentral:rRNA from 1 species